GCUUUUCAUUAAUUCUGGUGUAGACUUCAGUUUUCAUUUGUUGUAAUCGUGGGCCGAAUGUCGUUGUGCGGCCGUGAAGAUAGAGUUCUUCCUUAACCCUAAUACCGAAGAGACGAUGAAUUGACAUCUUUCUGAUAUCUAUCUCCGGCUGGCUAGCAGCCAUUGUUUUCCGGAAGUUCGAGCAAUGGGUUCCUCUGUGAUUACUUCAUUGUCGCUGAGCUUCAAACAAGUUCCUCCAACAGCUGUUCCUGCUUUUCUCGACUAUGUUCUAAGCUCCACAGGCGUGUCUCCCUCCACCCUUUUCGAAUCCCUCAUCAAAGAGUUGUCUUUUCGUGCGGAGAAAUUCCCUUCUGAUGAUUGCAACCACAUUGCUUCGUUGGUGGCUGGUAUUUGUCAUCUACUAAAGAGUUUUGUUGUUUGUGUGGAGAGUGUUUGUUCCACUGAUGAAGAUGGUUCGUGCUUAUGACUUGGAUAUGCUUAAUAAGGUGAAUCUUCCUCCCCCUGCUGUCUAUUGAUUAAAGCCCACAAAGUCACAUAUCCUUGGGCUUAUUUGAUCAUCUUCCUCCUCCUGCUGUCUAUUUAAUCGUUCUUUGAUGUUGUGACGAAGACAAGUGCAUUGGUUGUAUUGGAAGUGAGUUUGGUGCCUUUUUUUACUGAGAUCAGUUGGGGUAUCGAUAAGAAUGCUUCAACACGAAGAAUCAGAUUUCAUUAAAUGAGUAGAGCUGUUGCUUCGUGACUCUUUGAGUACAAAUAAUAUGUAUGAAAACUACAUUGCAUCUUUUUCUGAGUCAUUUCCGAUUCCACUGUCGUGCCAUCUCCUGAAUCUGUUACUGAGCGCUGCUUUUCAAAGUCACCAAGCAGCUCGAAAGGUUGAGAAUUUCGCAGCUGGUAUGCUUUGCGAUUUGUGUAAUACCACUGAGAGGCUUUUGUCACAAAGUGUGGAGCAUCGUUCAUGUGCUGUUAGUUUCCUUCCCCCUGCUAUUUUCAAGGCAUUCUCUUCUCAGUCUUCUCUGAAGAUCUCACUUCAAGGGAAUGUGUACGUACUUUCAAGGAAUGGCUUCAAAAAAUGAAUAUGGGAAUGCUCCAAGAAGCUGUCCUCGGUUGGAUCAAUAGAGGCCUUUCUUCUGGCUCUUGGACGGACGGAACAGAAAGUUAUGUCUCAGAAAAAGACCCUGUCGAAUUUGACUUUAGGUCCGAACACGAGUUUUGGGAAGAAAUCAAGAAAGGCUUGAUAUGGCAAAAGUACCUGUUAUUCUUACAGAUUCUCUCACUUUCUACAAUAUGAUCAUCCAUGAGUGUAAAGAACCUAUCCUUUCAGGUUUUUGAUGAGAGCUUAGUAAGGAAGCAGUCAUUGCACAUACUGAAAUCAGUUUUAUCCAUAAGUGAAGUGAGUAAGACGAUUUUUGAGAAGAAUUGUAUGGCUCUGUUGAAUCUGCUUUGUUAGGAUAUUGUUUUGUCUCCCA